GAUGAACGCUGGCGGCGUGCCUAAUACAUGCAAGUCGAGCGAACAGACGAGGAGCUUGCUCCUCUGACGUUAGCGGCGGACGGGUGAGUAACACGUGGAUAACCUACCUAUAAGACUGGGAUAACUUCGGGAAACCGGAGCUAAUACCGGAUAAUAUAUUGAACCGCAUGGUUCAAUAGUGAAAGACGGUUUUGCUGUCACUUAUAGAUGGAUCCGCGCCGCAUUAGCUAGUUGGUAAGGUAACGGCUUACCAAGGCAACGAUGCGUAGCCGACCUGAGAGAGUGAUCGGCCACACUGGAGCUGAGACACGGUCCAGACUCCUACGGGAGGCAGCAGUAGGGAAUCUUCCGCAAUGGGCGAAAGCCUGACGGAGCAACGCCGCGUGAGUGAUGAAGGCCUUCGGAUCGUAAAACUCUGUUAUUAGGGAAGAACAAAUGUGUAAGUAACUAUGCACGUCUUGACGGUACCUAAUCAGAAAGCCACGGCUAACUACGUG
rnacentral:rRNA from 1 species